UCCUACGGGAGGCAGCAGUGGGGAAUAUUGCACAAUGGGGGGAACCCUGAUGCAGCGAUGCCGCGUGGAGGAAGAAGGUUUUCGGAUUGUAAACUCCUGUCUUAAAGGACGAUAAUGACGGUACUUUAGGAGGAAGCUCCGGCUAACUACGUGCCAGCAGCCGCGGUAAU
rnacentral:rRNA from 1 species